rnacentral:lncRNA from 1 species
UCGGUCAACUACGGGGCGAUUGGCACCAUCAUCGGGCACGAAAUGAUUCAUGGCUUCGACGACUUAGGUAAACAGUUCGAUGAGGACGGACGGUUGAGAAACUGGUGGAGCAAUUCGACGCAAAAGAAGUUCGA